UACGUAGGGUGCAAGCGUUGUCCGGAAUUAUUGGGCGUAAAGGGCUCGUAGGCGGUCUAUCGCGUCGGGAGUGAAAAGCUGGGGCUUAACCCCAGUCCUGCUUCCGAUACGGGUGGACUAGAGGUAGGCAGGGGAGAACGGAAUUCCUGGUGUAGCGGUGAAAUGCGUAGAUAUCGGGAAGAACACCAGUGGCGAAAGCGCUCUACUGGGCCAUAACUGACACUGAGGGACGAAAGCUAGGGGAGCGAAAGGG
rnacentral:rRNA from 1 species